UACGGGGGGGGCAAGCGUUGUUCGGAAUUACUGGGCGUAAAGGGCGCGUAGGCGGCCUGCUAAGUCACACGUGAAAUCCCUCGGCUCAACCGGGGAACUGCGUGUGAUACUGGCGGGCUUGAAUUCGGGAGAGGGAUGUGGAAUUCCAGGUGUAGCGGUGAAAUGCGUAGAUAUCUGGAGGAACACCGGUGGCGAAGGCGGCAUCCUGGACCGAGAUUGACGCUGAGGCGCGAAAGCUAGGGUAGCAAACGGG
rnacentral:rRNA from 2 species